UGCUGGAGGUAUCAGAAGUGCGAAUGCUGACAUAAGUAACGAUAAAGCGGGUGAAAAGCCCGCUCGCCGGAAGACCAAGGGUUCCUGUCCAACGUUAAUCGGGGCAGGGUGAGUCGACCCCUAAGGCGAGGCCGAAAGGCGUAGUCGAUGGGAAACAGGUUAAUAUUCCUGUACUUGGUGUUACUGCGAAGGGGGGACGGAGAAGGCUAUGUCAGCCGGGCGACGGUUGUCCCGGUUUAAGCAUGUAGGCGGAGGUUCCAGGUAAAUCCGGUACCUUAUUAACGCUGAGGUGUGAUGACGAGGCACUACGGUGCUGAAGUGAUAAAUGCCCUGCUUCCAGGAAAAGCCUCUAAGCAUCAGGUAACACGAAAUCGUACCCCAAACCGACACAGGUGGUCAGGUAGAGAAUACCAAGGCGCUUGAGAGAACUCGGGUGAAGGAACUAGGCAAAAUGGUGCCGUAACUUCGGGAGAAGGCACGCUGAUA
rnacentral:rRNA from 1 species